rnacentral:tRNA from 1 species
AGCAGUGUGGCUCAGUGGAAAGAGCACGGACGGGCUUGGGAGUCAGAGGUCAUAGGUUCGAAUCCCAGCUCUGCUG